rnacentral:rRNA from 1 species
UACGUAGGUGGCAAGCGUUGUCCGGAUUUACUGGGCGUAAAGAGCGCGCAGGCGGUCGUUUAAGUCGAAUGUGAAAGCCCCUGGCUCAACUGGGGAGGGUCACGCGAUACUGAUCGACUCGAAGGCAGGAGAGGGAAGUGGAAUUCCCGGUGUAGUGGUGAAAUGCGUAGAUAUCAGGAGGAACACCAGUGGCGAAGGCGACUUCCUGGCCUGUUCUUGACGCUGAGGCGCGAAAGCUAGGGGAGCAAACGGG